CCAUUAUGUUUUCGGCUACAGGCUACUGCAGGCGCAGGAAGUGAUUGACGGGCGUAGAUUGCCGCGAUGUUUUGAACAUUUUAACACCAUAUGUUCCGUUGAUUCAUAAGUCCCCUCUGCAGGCUUUGUGCUGUCAUCCUUGGUCACGGUGUUGCACCUGGCAACAUAUCUUGGCGCGUGAAUCUGAGUGGUACUCUCUUGCGUGCAUGCCAUGUGCGCUUUGCGCAACAGCCAUACUGACCAUACAACAGGUCGAAGCAUGUGACUUCAUCUGCGUGGUGGUUGCAUAGAACAUCUACAGCCGACGUUGCGCUUAUUCAGAGACCGUCAACAACUUGCUUAGCUGUGUGUUACGUGCGACCGAAGCGUGAAAACUGUGCCCCAAAAUCGUGGAUGACCGUGAACUAGCUUGUUGUCGGUCAUUGCGCUGUAGAAUCACCAGCGCAAUAAACGAGACUCGAGUCGAGCAUGCGAAUAUGUUCUGAGCGGCGUGUCGGUGAGUUGCAACGUGACACUUCUUCACUGGCAGCAACCUGUGUGUGUGUGUGCAACAUAGGCAUUGUGACAAAGUUGUGUUAACUGCACUUAUUCACCUUGCGUAAUCCGUCAAAGCCUCGUCGACACCGCGCUCCUUAAUUGCAACCACAGAAACUGGGCUGGCAUCAUGAGCGAAAGUGAUGAAAGUAGUCGGGGCACCAAAGAGAGGCGCCGGAGACGCACACAGUCACCAUUGUGCACUGCGGGGCCAACUAGUGAGACAGAGGAAACCUUCAUUGAGGAAGCAAAUGGUGUUCACAGAAAGAACACGAAAAAGAAAUAUUGGGACUUGUCCAUGUGUGACAGUGAUGAGCACAGCGAAGGAAAAAAGAAACAUAAACGCGGGAAGCAACGCAAAAGUGCUGUAGGAGAAAAUUCUGCCUCUGGUGAAGAGGAAAUGUGCUCUGACAAACAUCCCGCAACUUUGAACCCCCAUUCCCUCGCUAGUGACGAACUUGUUGAGGCGAGUCAAGGAGAAAGGAGAUGCAAGAAGGUGAAAAAACGAGGUGUGCACUGUGAUAGUAGCGAAGUUGUGGAUGCGCCUUGUGUUGAAGAAACUGAGGAAGAAGUUGAAGUUCAUGGCAAGAAGAAGAAGGAGGGUGAUCGGACUCCCGAGUAUCACGUUAAACGUCACAAAAAAAGGCAUGAAGCACUGCAGGGCAACAGCAGUACUGAAAGUGACACACUGCUUUACAGUGGCGAGACUUGUAAGGAUGACACUGCACUGCCAAAUGACAAAAAUAAAAUAAUGUCUGAGGCAGGUGACAGUGACAGUCAAACUAUAAAGAGUCCACACAGAAAGAGGUGUAAAAGUAUCGACAGGUAUAAUCAGGCAGUCAAAAGUCCAAAUCAUCGAAUGAAGCAUUUUAAAACUAAUACUCCUAACCAUAGAGAUAGUACAGUGCUAUCCAGCAUGACUGAUCAAAGGGGUAGCAUGACCUCUGAACAUGCUGACAAUUUUCUGCAUAAAGGCGCAAGCCCAGUAAAAGCACCGAAGGUUUCCUCGCAGAAGAAAAAGCGAAAGCUGGCUAACCUAGAAGGCAAUGCUGAGGCCUUGUUUUGCGAUUUCAUUCAUGAUAUUGACGUGGAUUUGCCUGAGACCAUGGAGGAAACUACAUCGACAGUGCCAGUUCCAGAAGACCUUGAUAAUGAGAAAAGUGCAGAUGGCAGUUCUAUAAAGGAAAAGGCAAAGCUUCACAACCCCCAAAAGCUGGGAAAUAGCAAAAUGCUAUCAAAAGCAGGUGCAGGCAAUUUUAGUUCUGCAGCCCAAAGGUCUGAAAGUACCUUGGCAGAUGAGAGUGAUGCCCUGUUUAGUAGCGAGGGUAGCGGUCGUGGUACAUGUAGUGGGGACAUGUCUGAUGUUCUCACACCAGAGCAGACGCAGCAUUCUUCAGCCUUAUCAAGCUUUUCACCAAGCACGCCUAGUUCAAAGAAAGGUACACCAGUCUCUAAAUCCAACACCCUGUUGAAGCCAUGCAAACAGAGCUAUAGGGAAAAAGCUGCAGCAUUUAACGAUCUACGCACUGAACUGUUUGAAGGAGCUUCAUCAGAAACAGCAUUUCGCAAGGAUGGAGAAAAGUCAAGCUCUCCUAUUGAUUCGGAAUUUUUGGAUUACUUGCGUGGCAAACAUGGCUUCCCUUCUAUUCAUGACAAGACGAAACCAUCACCUGAAGCAAUAAGGUGCUACGAGGAAGAAACAGGACUUACUAUUGAUAAUGGAAAGUACACUGCUAAGGAGGACCAUAUUCUUCUCAGGAAUAUUUAUGGCAUAGCAAACUAUUACAACAUCCGUUAUCCUUACAUGAUUGUGGGACACUGUGGAGAUCAUGACCCGGCUUUACAGAAGCAAGUAAAGGACUUGGUUAGACAAGAGAAGUUGCUGCGAAUAUUAGGUAGAGGAUUGCCUCGCAGGACAAUUCAUUCAGCCUAUAUGCGGGCUCGUAUUUUGUUGAAUCCCUUAGGCGAUCCUGCAAAGGCAGUGCUAACUCCAGAACAGAAGAAACAGGUGCUGCGCAUGUAUGACAUGGUUGGGCCAAAAUGGACAGAAAUGGCACAGAAGAUGGGCCUUGGAGCAGAGCAGUUGAGAAGUGCUUUUCGUUUUGUCAAGGACAAAGAAACUUUCGCAACUGGCAAGUGGGAAAAAUCGGAAGACGAUCUCCUCAAGGAGGCUGUUGAACAUCAGACUGGUGACGGGAAGACAAAACUGAAGGACAUCAACUGGCAGGCAGUUGCUCAUCAUGUACGAAGUCGAAAUGCAGUUCAGUGUAAGAGGCGGUGGACCUUGACACAGCUGAAACAUCAGCCUAAGAAGGGAAAGCGGAAAUGGAACAAAUUUGACUCUAUUCACCUGAUCUGCAUAAUGCACAGGCUCAAUGCAAGCAGGUCAUCGGAAGUUGACUGGGAAGCUGUAGGAGAGUCAUUCCCAUGGGCACCAUCCCCCUUGGUUGCCAAGUAUCACUGGGAAGGCACACUGAAUUCUUAUCUCCCACCAGACAAGCGCAAGGAUUUUCAUUUUCAGUUUCACACUCUGCUCUCAGCACCGCUAGUACACACUACUGUUCCACUAUUGCAGCCCUACUGCACAGGGCAGCCAUGUAGAAACUGACCAAUCAUGUUCAAAUCAUCAGCUAAGGUAAAGAAUUUGUACAAGAUAGCACUGCCAUUCCUGCUAGCAAAAUAUGGGAAAGGAAAUACUUUGGAUGAAAUUAUAGCACUUUCUAAGGCUCAAGAAGGCACUUAGAAAAGCCCAUGGCAGCAUAUUUGCCCUGCAUCCUCCACCUUGUUUGGCUCACUUUUAUUUGUGAAGCUGCUUUCUAUUUUUUCUACCCAUCUCAUUCAUGGUCAUCGCAUGUGGAAAGGACAGAACAGUGUUAUGUUUGUUAUACAUAAUGCAUUUUCAUCAGAAGCAUGUACAAUAAAUUUUUUCUUUGGCCUUGUUAAA
rnacentral:misc_RNA from 1 species